GCCGCUCCGAGGGGCGCCCGGCUCGGCCGUGCACCGGGCGGCCCCCCGAGGAGGGGCAGCGGGCCGGGCUCAUGGGGGACGGUGGGCGUUUUGUCGCUCCUCUGUGCCCCAAAAUACCCCUGCCGGAGCUGAAAGAACUGGAAAAGCUGGGAACUGAAAACAGAGUCACAGGUUAGUAAUUUCUUUGUUCAUGGCUCUUAAAGGAAGGAAAGUAUAAUGGUAGAGGCAGAAGGAAAUGGUUUAAAAAGAUGUUUUAAGUCCAGAGCAUAAAGGGGACAGAUUUUUAAUCUAGGCUUAAUGGGAGUUGUUCUUUGACUAUAGCAAUAUGAGGUACGUCAGAAAUACUAGGCAUUCCUCUAGCAUGCUUUAAGCUGAGAUUAAUACAGCUAAAUUCUUUGGACUUAGAGCAUCGUUAAACCAGGCUAAAUGAGAAAAGAGUCAAGCCUGUUAUUUUCAAAAACUUCAGAAAUGCAAACAAUGCCAGGGAGAAACUGAAGAGUUAAAGACCUUUUGCAUUUGUUGUGUACUCCUUCGGCAAACAUAAUGGAGAUGAAAGUCACAGGCUCAGAACUCAGUAGUCCAACCACGAAACAAAUAAGGACCAAGGCACGAAUAUGGUGUCUGGCUAAAACCAAACGAUAGUUAUUAAUUCGUGGGCUAAUUUGGCUUCAAAACGCCUUUGUUCUUUCCCUCUUUCCCACAUGUCUUUUGGGAUGCAAUUAAAGGUUUUGGUCUUAAUUUUUACGGUUACUAACGUGCUGAACUACUUCGAGUUGUCUUGAUGUACUACUGUGUUCCCAGCGUGGUCAACAGAAAAAAACAAGAUCAACAAAAUCCAACUUCAAAUACGCAAAACAUUUGCCAUAUUUUAUGGUUAUAGCACGUCACCAGGGGCACAAAACAAUUCCAUAGAGGUUGUGAUCCAGUGACAAAACUGAAGAAAAGAGCGGUGGUAGGGAAAUUCUGAAAACAAUGACUAUUUAUAUCACAAUUGUGUCUACAACGUGCUAGAAAUGUUUUCCAAGCAUAUAAAGACUCUAUUCAUUGCCAGAGAGCUUGUUCCUUAAAAGACAGCAUAAGGGCAAAGCAUGACAGAAAGGAACAUACAGUAUACAAAGCAAAAUGACCAACACGAAGGUUGCCAAAACAGAGGGGGAGGGUACUGCCUCCUCUCUUGCCUGUGAGUUACUCUCCACUGGCUCCCUAGCUUGGCAUUUCCAAGAGAGCUAAUUUCUUGUGUGUGCCAGUGGAGGCUGGAAAAGAGCUUGAAGGGUGACUAGGCAGUGAUGAGACAUAAUUGAUUCGCAGAGAAUGCAGAUAAAAAGUCUCUAAAGUUGUACCAGUCAUGAGGAGGAGGAUGUGGGAUAAACUUAAUGCAAGGUCAGAGGGUUUUGUUGUUCUUUUUUUUUUAUCACCACUUAGAUAUAGAUCUGAUGUGUUUAUUAGAAAUACCUAAAAAAAAAUAGGUUGGUCAAUGAAUAACUUUCCUGUUUUCGUUAAGUAGUAAUAAUAGCUGCAUUUAUCUAUCCUUACAUGUGCUUUAUAUAGUUCAAGUGCUGCAGUUGUAUGGUUGUACAAGCAACCAAAAAGAAUCUUUGAAGCCCAGGGGAAGGGAAGAAUGCAGGACAGCAAGACUACAGGUGUUGAAUUCACAGAACAAAAUCAGCUUAGAAAUAAAGUUAAAUACAUCCCAUUUUCAGAUAGUUUUGCCGUGACAGUGUCACAGUUCGUAUUUAGGACUGGUGGGCCUGUAGCAUUUGCUCUGUCCCCCCCAGACCACUCCACUGUGUUCUUCAGCCUGGCUGCCCUUAUUCCACGUAAGCCAUUAUUCAUUGAUCUCGACAGUGGCAUUUUUCAAGCUAGCUUUCAUACUAGCAAGUGAACUGUAGCAGGUUUGCAGCUUUUCCAAAUAAAACCAGAGAACUGUUUGUCUCAGUUGGAUUCUCUGUUAAGCUCACUUCCUUUCUAAUCAGCACAAACUGUACAAAGUACAUCCACGAGGCUGUGCAGGUGCUCCUCUGCUGAAUGCACACUCUUUUUCCGAGGCCCUCAAAGGGUUAGCGUGGUUUAUUCACCUCUCAAGUAUUGCCCCUGUUUCUGCAGAGCCGGGAAGGGUUCAUGCAGUCGUGUUGGUGCUGAGCACAUAGGGUGCUGCCUGGCUCUGACCCGUGCAGAAGAGCACACCUGGUUUCCUUCUGUGACAGCUGGGACACAUCAAGGCGCUCUGCGGCCAGCCCAAGCUCUGAUACACUGAGGGCUCGAUGCUAUGCUGUUGCAGGUACCGUCCCCUUCAAGCGGAGUACCAGGUGCUCCUGCACUGUCCUGCACCAAACGCACGCUGCUCAGCACCGUGUAAGGUGGCACACGGCCCUUGGGACAACGCAGGGUCGGGCUCGCAGCCCUGGGAAUAAUCCCCAGUACUCUGGGCCACGUUGCACCCAGCCUUUUGCUUGUUGACACCAUCACAGAGUCUCCCUAAAAGUUUUUGCUGAAAUUAAUGAAAUAAUUUGGUUGUUUAUCACCGAAUAUCAUAAUGUUGUAAUGUUGAAAGGAAAAAAAACCUUUCAUUAUAAUCUGAGAUUAUAAGGGUUGGGCUAAAUUAUAAGGAGAAGUAUUCUCAAUUACUUUGUGUAAACCUGAAGUGUUUAAUACUGCGGGAUUCCUCCAGGCUCUUCAACCGAAAUUGUUUUUGCUGUCCCUGAAUCUGUCUGAAAUGAUAUGCAUUUGCUUCUCUGGGAAUGUAGCCUGUUUUAUUACACCAAAAAUACAGUUGGGGUUGAUCAAGAGAGAUUUAUGCAGAUUAAAAUGUUAGACUGCUUUAAUAAUUGUAUUCGUAUUUAAAGAAAAGCGAGUUACAGUAGUGAGUUACAGUAUAAGACAAUGUUCUUUUCUUUCUUUUUUUUUCUUCCGAAGAUGCUGCUACGAGACAUCUAUUUCUGUAAAGCUACGGCAAUGCAGCAGGGCUUAGAAAAAGCUCAAGACUGACUUAUUCCAGUCUUGUCUUCAUUUUAAAAUUUGUACCAUGAGAAGUUCAAAAGCUUUUUCCACAUUGUUUGUGAGGUUUCUCCAGAGGGAGUAUUUCUGGCUCUGGUUAGAAAAGAACUCCCUGUCUCCCUAAAGAUUGACAAUUAUGUACAUUUUUGGCCUCUAACUUAAGCAAGCCAGCAGGCCCUCGGGGUGCUUAAAGCCCUGUUAUGGACAGAAAGUUACUUUUAAAGAACAUUUUUUAAACGCUAUUUGAAAUCUAGGCUCUGAUACAGCGAUAAGCAGUUUUGAAAACAGAAUUCAUGUAGGUCAUAUUUAUCUUAACUGCUCCACACGUUGUUCUCGAUUUUGACACAGGCACGUCUCCUAGCUUCAGAACAAGGGACUCGGAGGUAAAGAAAGUCUCUUCGAUGUUUCAGAGGGCCACAGCCAUUACAUGACCUUUUUACUGUGCAUCUGAUAUGUGCUUCCUGGCCCUGUGUCAUCACGGUUCAGCAUCGUGACAUGCUGAAAGAUCAUCACGGUAGAAACAAUGCAGAGCAGCAUUCGGAUGGUGUGGCGGCCUGCCCUGGUUAUUUUGUGUGUGUACCUGAUUUAUUGCACAUCAUAUUUUCUCUUUCCUCCUCUUCCAGCUGCCAGGCACGUAGUUCUCUCUUCUGCCAGUGCCUUGCCUUGUACUUGGAAAAGGGAACAGGGACGCCCUGGGGUGUGGGCAAGAAGGGCAGUUCGCUUUGUGCACCUGGGGAGACCCAGAGAGCCUCAGCUCAUGGGUUACAAUAUAUGCUGCUAUUAGUCUCCAUGUUUUUCUCCAGAUUGCCUAGAAACUAUUAUCCAGUGCACAACAGAGGAGCUCAAGAACUGUCCCUGGAGCCACAAAGAUGUGUUUUAUUAAAGGACUGGACAUUUUAUCUCUGGGUGGAGAUGCAGUUUCUUUUCCCUUUCUCCAGCUGGCUAGCACAAUUUUUGAUAUCCUCCAAGUCUUUUUCUUGUGAAGGCAGUUGUACUAGCGAGAGAGAUUCCAAGAAAAAGCUUAGGACACUUGGUGCUGUGAGAGGAGAAACCUGCCUCGGCAAUUUAAGAGAGGAAGGAAAAGACAAUAGUGAGGGAGUUUUUGAACUGAUAACACCAACUAUUGAGGUGUUAUUCCUCAACAGACUUUGGGUUCUGAUUUUUUUUUUGGAUGAGGCAAUUUCUUGAGAAGAAUGGGGGUACGCUUCAUUUUUAUUUGUUUUCUAAGUGAACAAUGGUGUCCUCCCUCCCCCUUUUAUCAAACAAUGGGAAUAUGAUAUAAUAGUUGAUGUUUUGUUAAAACUAUCAAGCUUGCACAUCUGUCCUGAAGAGCUCACCUUUGCCAGGGCUGCCUACAUAUGUGUUCACGUGCAUAAGCAUUGUGAGCCUGAACCCGAAAGAGUCAUCCCAAUUUAGGUGAAUUCAGCACAGCUCAGGACUUUGUUCUCCUGCACUCUGUUUCCCCUUGUCCCAGGACUGCCUGGGACCUCUCUGAUGCAUUGUCAGGAUGUCCUAUUGCUCUCCUACAUUGCCCUCCUCGCAGUCCCCCCUAUCCCAAGGGCUUUCUGAUGCCUUUUCUUGCUUUCCACCCUUUCUAAAGACACAGGCUUUUAUUCCUUGCCAUUCUGUUUUCUGUCAGUGCUCCUCCUGUGCCCUCCUGCUACAUUUUCUGUAGUCUGGGCAAGUUUAAGUCAUGGCGUUGAGUUGCUGCCCACCAAAAGAGGCUGCUUCCAGCAGCAUCUUCCUUCACCCUGCCUUACUUUAGCACCACGCUCGUCUAGCCCUUUGGUGAGUCAGUUGAAAGAGAAUAGUUUUCUGUUGGAUUAACAAGUUGGAUCGGCUUACUGUGUGGUUUGAUGUGGUGCAAGAGAGGGUGUGGACCAGCAGGGCCAGGAGUUAGGGAGGGAAAAGCAGGACCACCCAAGUCAGAACAGUAAGCUGACUCAGUCAGGUCAUGAAACUUCACCCUUAUUUACUUCGUAUUAUAUAACUUGACCCAUUUCUACUCCGUCCGUAACAGAGGGAAGUCUUUCCAAGUGACCUGUUAAAAUUGUAUGGAGAGAAUCAGCAGGUCCAAAGUGCGGGAUAUUGUGAUAUACCAGGACACGGUAAUGGCUGGCAUCAGCCAAUUCGUCUGUCUGAGAAUGUGGGGAGAGGUGCUUUGUGCUUUUGGCUCUGUGAACAGCAUGCCAAGGACUUUUACAGGUUAUUUUACAGGUUAUUUUUCAGAUUUUAGCAGUUGAAAGGUUCUGUCUGUUGAUUAAAAUAGUUCUUAAGAUUUUAGAACUGAGCAAAUAAUGGUAUUAAAAAUUGUGAUCCUGAUAAAUACUCAGUAUGUUGGUGCUUCUACAUCUCCUUGUCUCCUGUGUUAACAAGCACGACCCUCUGUGCAAAUACUCCAAAUCCAAUAUCAAAGUAGGAAAUUUCAACUUGUUUUAAAGUACUUCCUGAGCAACUUAACUUAUACCAAGAACAGAUAUUUACUAAAAUAGGAGUGCAAUGGAUGUGUGGUAAUUUAAAUUCAUAUAUUACUAUGAAAAUUUGUUGCUUUCCCCCUGCACGAUCUAAAUUGACACUAUUCAUUUCAUCUCUGUCAAUGGGCAUGGUGCUGUUAGUGACUAGUAAAACAUAACGUUGAUAUUGUGUGCAUUUAUACAAAGUGGUACCUAAAUACCAGGUCCCGGAACAUUAAACUUAACAGGAGUUCCUGCAAACACACAGCUGAAUAUGAAUUAUUAACAUCUUUGGUUUUCUCUUGGAGCAGUAGCAUGCGUUACAGAGCUGUAAUUAGGGCUGGGUUGCGUCUGAGUCUUCCUAUCACGCUGCAUUGUUUUGUCACUGCUAGAAGUAUUACCCCUGAACCUGUUCCUUGCUCACCCAGCUAGCUAAUUAGUGACCUGGAGAUAAGGUGGCAGUUAUUGGUAGUAGAAGAAAUGGCCUUUCAUUUUUAUGCAGAAGCAAAAAGCAGGUCAGCAAGCGAUUUGCACAUUCUUCAUCCACCCACAGCGCAAUGGAAGACGAUAAUGCUUAUCUUUGCAGGGGGCAGGUUUCACUUUUUUCCUUACUGUUCUAUUAGGCUUACGUUUUCUCCCCGGCAUUAUUCUUUCUUUUGGUUGUUGUUGGGUUGGUUGGUGUUUCAUAUGUUUGUUUUGCUUUGUUUUUAAUUUCAAGCUAUGUCCAGUGCUAGGGCCUCGUUUAGGAGUUUUCAUUAAAACAGAUUCAUAGAAGAGUUCCUCAGAUUACAGUUUCCUCACUCUGGGAUAUAGAUGGAGAUUCGAUCGGAGGGAAUAGGCAGAGAAUAGAUAGCGACUGCCCUCACCUAUUUACCAAAUUGUAAGCAUUGUCAAAAUUUGGGUGGGAGGCAAAGCUCCUCCCUUGUGCAAACACAGCCUCCAAUAAAAGCCAUGUGCUGUGGGCAGGAGUAGUUAAGGGCUUUCAUUUUAGUUGUUUUGUUUUUUUUUUAAACAGCAACUUAUCAAUGUGGGAGGCCAUACGUGGCCAGCUCAUAUACACACAAAGGCUCGUGUGUCUGCGGAUAUGCCUGCUCUGCACAUCCAGCCUGCUCCUUACCUUAUUUUAGCCAGGGUGACCAUUUCUCCCCUAUUUUAAGAAAUAUUCCUCAUUUCGUAUGUCACGAGUAAAAGAAACGCUGAAUCAUAUCUCUGUAGAGCAACAUUUUGCACUGCAUUUUCUUUUUAAUUGAACCUUAUAUUUGAUUUAAAAAUAUUGGCCUCGAGAGACUGAAUCUUUUUCAGAAAAAGCUACAGCAUGAAGCUAAAAAUUCUCGCUCUAUAUUAUCUUAAGACAGCACUGAAUCACAGACCUAGAAUAAAAGUUAAUUGCAAAUGCGGGCUCGUGUUAGAGGGUCUGAUUUUGCAUUUGUGAUCCAGAUGUGGAGGAGGCACGUAAGGAAGAAAACGUCUUUGAAGGUUCAUAAAUGCCAAUGCAUAACACUGAAUGCUUGCCUCAUGCACUGAAUAUUUCGCUGCAGAGGUCUAGUGAACGCUCCAUGCAGGGCAAAGCUGUGAAGCAAGGUAGCAAACUAGUUUCCCUUGGUCAGCUGUCAGCACAGCCAGACGGGAGCCCUUCCAGAACGACCUCUGGAAACACUCAUCUAGCCUCAUCAGCGGUCUAUAAAUAGAGGAGGUUUUCAUCCCCAAGGAGGUUCUGCAACGCCAUGCCGCGGCUCAGCGCUGCGCUCCCAUGGAGGCAGCAGAAGGGGUGUUACAGAGCCAUGUGGUGGAACCGGCGCCGGGCCCUCUUCGUGUCAAAGAUGAGGCCUGCUGGCAGGUGGGGAGGAGAAUUGGGCUAGAAGGCUCUUCCCAAAAGCCUCCCAAAACGGGAGAAAUUCACUUAGGUCCUACACAGAAACUGCUGCCUGCAGAGUGACAAAUCCAGCCACCGUGACCUUCAGGGGAAGUGACAAAGACACCUGAGAAAGGAAACUAGAAGUAGCUUCCCUUUCUGAAAGAUGUUUCAUUUCUCGUGAAACAAUACUUUACGUUAGAACAUUUAAGGCAGAAGGAGCAACUUGGAAAGAUGAAAAAGUGGGAGCUGGAAAUACAUUUCCAGAGCAGCAACUUAAAAUAGCUGCACCACUAUGUGAGCCUUCCUGGUACUGAAGGCAAUUUUACACCAUGGGCAUAGGUAGGGCAAGACUGGCUUGCCCUGUGCAGGGGGAGUUCAGAACCAGCAGUUCCUCUCCUCCUGUACGGAUCCAGCGGUCAGGAAGCGCUCCUGAAGAGGAGAAGACAUCUUUCGCUAUCCAGAAUGAACAGAGAAGUGCUUUCACUGGGAUGAAUGAAAAUAGCAAUAAAUGCUGUAAGAAUUAUGUAGCAUUCCCUACUGCGUUAAUUACCACGUAGAUUUUUUUUUUUAGUUGCUCAUGGACUGUCACGUGUGAGAUAAUACACCGACAGGGUAACCACAAAUGUAACUCUAGAGUAAGUUCUGAGAGCAAAACACUUAGAGCUUUGUGUCUAAAACAUAUGUAAAUAUCAAAAGCUACCAGCUAGCUGCUACAGAACCAAGGGAAAAAAAAAAAAAAAAAAAGGUCCUACUCAUUUUCAUCAACAUAGGUCUCUUUACUGAGACAGCAGAUUAAAAAGUGUUGUCUUACAAAAGUUAGUUACACUAUGUCUUACAAGAUUUAUCUACAGUUUCAAUGGGGACAAAAAUUUGUUGGGGUCAAGCUUCAUGUAGUAUUUGCAAAAGAAGUAACUUUAAAAUUGUGAUUGAAAAAUAAAAUUUGAGUCCGACUUCUGAUACCUCAGCAUCACCGAAAUAUCAGUAUCUCUAUUAUGCAUCUGAAAGAGGAAUACUCUAUUAUCUGUUAGAUUAUUUGGAGGGAAAAUCUGAAAAUAUAGGACAAAAUGCCAUAUUUUGGAACCAACAUAGCUAAUUUGGGAGACAAUGUUCUGGCUACAGAAGAAUGAAAAAUGAAAAAUCAUUUUCCUGCUCACAGACUGCAUAUUGAGCAAAGUGGGCUGUAGGUAAGUUAGUAUUUGAGCCCAAAAACCUUUGAUCUACAAUCUUUAAACCUUUUUUCUUUCUGCCAGCAGAGUUUCAGCAUUAAAAGAGAUCUUUAUUCUGUUGUUAUGAAAUGGUAAUGUAGGAGCACUGAGCCAUUGCCCGGCAAGAUUGUCAUCCUUCUGCCUUCCUCAAAGUGUCAUCCACGUACAGUUUCUUUACAGGCAUGGGAGAUGUGCUGUCUGUGUCAGAACUGUACUUCUCUCAGUGUGCUAAGGUUUUAUGGUAGAGUUUUGAGAUCAGAACAAUCUGAUCUUACAUGUGCUGGGGUGUACGAUGUGUACUAAUUAAAUGGUAAAUUGCAAAGGAAAAAAAAAAAACAACUGAUCACAGAAAACUUGGUCAUGUUUGUGGCUUUUAAAUACACCAUGACAAAACAUAAAAAGCGGAAAGGGAUUUCAUGCAGUAGUGUGCAUGAGCUCCAAACCCAUUCCCUUUGCUUUCUGAUUCCAGCAAGCAAAAUGACCCUAGCCUGCUUACCUGAAACUAGGCUGAUUUUUCUGGGAACACUUGGCACUGCUGAAGGCCUACACCUUAACAAAAGUCUGGAUUAUGCGUAUUGAGGGAUUCGGGAGAGCCCACGCUCUUGUGAGAGGAGGUGUUCUAGGACACAGCCUUAGAGUCCUGGUUUUCUGCCUUUCUCAAGAUGUGUGGUUCCUUGUCUACUGUGAUCUCAGAUGCCAGAGUGGGAAGAGUUUAUGUAAACAAACCUGCUUACAUGCACAGAAGAGUAGUCACCCUGAAGCUGGUGUAAUCCCUCCGAGCAGCUUCACAGAAACCUUAAGGCUGUACUUUUUACGUGCUGCACACGUAGCUGCGAUGUGUACCGUGCGUGGUUUUCAGAAUAUUUUGUUACCCUUUUGCUAAGUGCUGCAACGCGCUGCUCAGAAGUUUGUCUGGCUGCACACUCUGUCGUCGGGAGAGUGCCUGAGAAGGAAGGGAGCGGCCAGGACUUGCUUCCAAGUGGUUUAUUGACGAUUAAACUCUUAUAGCCAGAUAAAAGCAACAGCAAAUAACCUGAUACGUGUGUUACAGCAGUGCACCGUCUCACCGUCUCCCUCCCUGCAUCGUAUUUCCUAUCUAGGUCACCGUGCAGCGUGAGGCUGUUGGUUCACCAGAUAGUGUUUCCUCACGGCGACCCAGACGCAGCCACGACAGGCACAUUUUCGGUCUGUUUAUGCAAACUGCCAGUGUCCUGAGCCUGUUCCUGGCACGUAUUUCACCUUCUUCCUUGCUGGUUCAGUGCCUGGUAUAGCUUGCCCAGCCUUACGGAUGGAGUUGGCUACACUGACAUCUAAACAGCUCUGGAGAUCGAGCCAUCUUUGCCUGUCAAACAGAAAUUCCAUCACUGUCCUGCAACUGCCGUGUAAUUAAAUCUUCUCCUGCUAAGCAUA